rnacentral:rRNA from 1 species
GAGUUUGAUCCUGGCUCAGAACGAACGCUGGCGGCGUGGUUAAGGCAUGCAAGUCGAACGAGGCUGGUUUCCGGGUAACCGGGUUCCAGCUUAGUGGCGAACGGGUGAGGAAUGCAUGGGUAACGUACCCCGGACUCAGGGAUAACGGCGGGAGCUUCUGCUCCCUUUGCGAAAGUGCCGGUAAUACCUGAUGACCCGGCGGGAUCGCAUGGUCCUGUCGGCAAAGGUCCGCAGGUCUGAGAUCGGCCCAUGUCCUAUCAGCUUGUUGGUGAGGUAACGGCUCACCAAGGCGACGACGGGUAGCGGGCGUGAGAGCGUGGCCCGCCACAUCGGGACUGAGACACUGCCCGGACACCUACGGGUGGCUGCAGCAACGGAUAUUCCGCAAUGGGCGAAAGCCUGACGGAGCGACGCCGCGUGCAGGAUGAAGUCCUUCGGGAUGUAAACUGCUGUCAGGGGUUAGGAAGCUCUGACCAGCCCCACAGGAAGCACCGGCUAAUUCCGUGCCAGCAGCCGCGGUAAUACGGAAGGUGCAAGCGUUGUUCGGAAUCACUGGGCUUAAAGGGCGUGCAGGCGGGGUGGUAGGUGCCUUGUGAAAUCCCUCGGCUCAACCGAGGAACGGCUCGGCAAACCCCCACUCUUGAGGCAGGUAGAGGCGACUGGAACGUUUGGUGGAGCGGUGAAAUGCGUAGAGAUCAAACGGAACACCGGUGGCGAAAGCGAGUCGCUGGGCCUGUUCUGACGCUGAGACGCGAAAGCGUGGGUAGCAAACAGGAUUAGAUACCCUGGUAGUCCACGCCGUAAACGAUGCGCACGAGGUACGGGAUCCUCUGACGGAUUCCGUGCCGAAGGAAAACCGAUGAGUGCGCCGCCUGGGGAGUACGGCCGCAAGGCUAAAACUCAAAGGAAUUGACGGGGGCUCACACAGCGGUGGAGCAUGUGGAUUAAUCGAAGCAACGCGCAGAACCUUACUGGUUUGACAUGCUCGAUGCACCCGUGAAAGCGGCUAUGCUGCUCGGUGAACGAGCAAGUGCUGCAUGCUGUCGCUCAGCCUGCUGAACGUUCGGUUAG